CAUCCAGACUCCUACGGGAGGCAGCAGUGGGGAAUAUUGCACAAUGGGGGAAACCCUGAUGCAGCGACGCCGCGUGAAGGAAGAAGUAUUUCGGUCUGUAAACUUCUAUCAGCAGGGAAGAAAAUGACGGUACCUGACUAAGAAGCCCCGGCUAACUACGUGCCAGCAGCCGCGGUAAUACGUAGGGGGCAAGCGUUAUCCGGAUUUACUGGGUGUAAAGGGGGCGCAGACGGCAGCGCAAGCCAGGAGUGAAAGCCCGGGGCCCAACCCCGGGACUGCUCUUGGAACUGCGCGGCUGGAGUGCAGGAGGGGCAGGCGGAAUUCCUGGUGUAGCGGUGAAAUGCGUAGAUAUUAGGAGGAACACCAGUGGCGAAGGCGGCUUACUGGACGGCAACUGACGCUGAGGCUCGGAAGCGUGGGGAGCAAACAGGAUUAGAUACCCCAGUAGUA
rnacentral:rRNA from 1 species